AUUAACAUUUUCUGGAAUGGCGAUAGCUGGCAGAUUAGGUAGCAUUGUGAAUGGGACUAUAAGCAAAUCAUCGUCACUGUCGCUGUCUUCUGUCCCACUUUGCCUACUAGGAC
rnacentral:sRNA from 1 species